UACGUAGGGUCCGAGCGUUGUCCGGAAUUACUGGGCGUAAAGAGCUCGUAGGUGGUUUGUCGCGUUGUUCGUGAAAACUCACAGCUCAACUGUGGGCGUGCGGGCGAUACGGGCAGACUAGAGUACUGCAGGGGAGACUGGAAUUCCUGGUGUAGCGGUGGAAUGCGCAGAUAUCAGGAGGAACACCGGUGGCGAAGGCGGUUCUCUGGGCAUGACCUGACGCUGAGGAGCGAAAGCGUGGGGAGCGAACAGG
rnacentral:rRNA from 1 species